rnacentral:rRNA from 1 species
UGUUGGCGGGGUAACGGCCCACCAAGACUACGAUGGAUAGGGGUUCUGAGAGGAAGGUCCCCCACAUUGGAACUGAGACACGGUCCAAACUCCUACGGGAGGCAGCAGUGAGGAAUAUUGGUCAAUGGGCGCGAGCCUGAACCAGCCAAGUAGCGUGAAGGAUGAAGGCUCUAUGGGUCGUAAACUUCUUUUAUAUGGGAAUAAAGUUUUCCACGUGUGGAAUUUUGUAUGUACCAUAUGAAUAAGGAUCGGCUAACUCCGUGCCAGCAGCCGCGGUAAUACGGAGGAUCCGAGCGUUAUCCGGAUUUAUUGGGUUUAAAGGGAGCGUAGGUGGAUUGUUAAGUCAGUUGUGAAAGUUUGCGGCUCAACCGUAAAAUUGCAGUUGAAACUGGCAGUCUUGAGUACAGUAGAGGUGGGCGGAAUUCGUGGUGUAGCGGUGAAAUGCUUAGAUAUCACGAAGAACUCCGAUUGCGAAGGCAGCUCACUAGACUGUUACUGACACUGAUGCUCGAAAGUGUGGGUAUCAAACAGGAUUAGAUACCCUGGUAGUCCACACAGUAAACGAUGAAUACUCGCUGUUUGCGAUAUACAGUAAGCGGCCAAGCGAAAGCAUUAAGUAUUCCACCUGGGGAGUACGCCGGCAACGGUGCAAGGGAAAGGAAUUGACGG